GAGUAAAGUUAAUACCUUUGCUCAUUGACGUUACCCGCAGAAGAAGCACCGGCUAACUCCGUGCCAGCAGCCGCGGUAAUACGGAGGGUGCAAGCGUUAAUCGGAAUUACUGGGCGUAAAGCGCACGCAGGCGGUUUGUUAAGUCAGAUGUGAAAUCCCCGGGCUCAACCUGGGAACUGCAUCUGAUACUGGCAAGCUCGAG
rnacentral:rRNA from 1 species